GGGAACGGAGGAAAAGAAACCAACAGGGAUUGCCUUAGUAACGGCGAGUGAAGCGGCAAAAGCUCAAAUUUGAAAUCUGGCACCUUCGGUGUCCGAGUUGUAAUUUGAAGAAGGUAACUUUGGAGUUGGCUCUUGUCUAUGUUCCUUGGAACAGGACGUCACAGAGGGUGAGAAUCCCGUGCGAUGAGAUGCCCAAUUCUAUGUAAAGUGCUUUCGAAGAGUCGAGUUGUUUGGGAAUGCAGCUCUAAGUGGGUGGUAAAUUCCAUCUAAAGCUAAAUAUUGGCGAGAGACCGAUAGCGAACAAGUACAGUGAUGGAAAGAUGAAAAGAACUUUGAAAAGAGAGUGAAAAAGUACGUGAAAUUGUUGAAAGGGAAGGGCUUGAGAUCAGACUUGGUAUUUUGCGAUCCUUUCCUUCUUGGUUGGGUUCCUCGCAGCUUACUGGGCCAGCAUCGGUUUGGAUGGUAGGAUAAUGACUAAGGAAUGUGGCUCUACUUCGGUGGAGUGUUAUAGCCUUGGUUGAUACUGCCUGUCUAGACCGAGGACUGCGUCUUUGACUAGGAGUGGC
rnacentral:rRNA from 1 species